rnacentral:precursor_RNA from 13 species
ACAACUGGAUUUGCCAUCAGUCUAGUUACUAGGCAGUGUAGUUAGCUGAUUGCUAUUAACACCAAUCACUAGCCACACAGCCAGGUAAAAAGACCUGCAAUUCGUCUCGGCGAAC